UUUCUGCCGGCGACCUCGCAAGCCAGGUUCUCUACUUCCGCUUCCCUCCUAAACACUCUCUGCUGGAAAGUGUGUUUGAGAGGGAAGCGGAAGUAGAGCCUGGCUUGCGAUGUUGCAUUUUCUG